rnacentral:tRNA from 1 species
GGGUCCGUAGCCUAGAGGUUACGCUUUCGCUUGAUAAGCGGAAGGUCAUGGGUUCGAUUCCCAGCCCCU